GAUUUCUGGUUUAAUGCACCUGGCUCGCGGCCACUAGGCUUGUGAGUGCCGGCGCGCGUUUACCUUGGGAUCGCGAUCUAGAUCUUUUACUUUGAAAAAAUUAGAGUGUUUAAAGCAGUAUGAAUACAUUAGCAUAAUCUAGGACUUCGGUUCUGUUUUGUUGGUUUCUGUAACUGAAGUAGAUUGAUAGGGAUAGUUGGGGGUGCGAGUAUUGGCCGGCCAGAGGUGAAAUUCUUGGAUUCGGUCAAGACUAACUUAUGCGAAAGCAUU
rnacentral:rRNA from 1 species